GACGAACGCUGGCGGCAUGCCUAAUACAUGCAAGUCGAGCGAACAGAUGAAGUGCUUGCACUUCUGACGUUAGCGGCGAACGGGUGAGUAACACGUAAGGAAUCUACCUAUAAGCGGGGGAUAACAUUCGGAAACGGGUGCUAAUACCGCAUAAUAUCUUCUUCCGCAUGGAAGAAGAUUGAAAGACGGCCCUGCUGUCACUUAUAGAUGACCUUGCGGUGCAUUAGUUAGUUGGUGGGGUAACGGCCUACCAAGACGAUGAUGCAUAGCCGACCUGAGAGGGUGAUCGGCCACAUUGGGACUGAGACACGGCCCAAACGCCUACGGGAGGCAGCAGUAGGGAAUCUUCCGCAAUGGGCGAAAGCCUGACGGAGCAAUGCCGCGUGAGUGAAGAAGGCCUUCGGGUCGUAAAACUCUGUUAUAAGAGAAGAACAAAUUGUAGAGUAACUGCUACAGUCUUGACGGUAUCUUAUCAGAAAGCCACGGCUAACUACGUGCCAGCAGCCGCGGUAA
rnacentral:rRNA from 1 species